NUCAAUACAGAGAAGAUUAGCAUGGCCCCUGCACAAGGAUGACACACAAACUUUUGUGAAACGUUAUAUAUUUAC
ensembl:snRNA U6 U6 spliceosomal RNA